CCUGCGACUCCUGAGUCCUGUGUGGGUACUUAUAUACCGAUAAAGGCUAGUUAGAUUCGCCCCUUAAAUAAUACUGUUACCAAAUCAUUAGUACAGCUGUCGUAGCAUGUUUGUGCUUGAUUUUACCCAGUAUAAUUAGGAAAACAUCACUUUUCUUCUGUUUUAAAGCUUAGCCCAGGGUGCAUUACGUUGACGUAAGUAUUUCUAUCUUUAAAGACGUUACAUAAAUAAUUCAUACUUCGACAACGGAGAGAAUACGGCAUAGCAGAGAGCGUUUGAUGGCGCGACAUUUUUGGAUUUUUACAGUAGGCAUUGCGAUUUCUACAGUUUUCAGUGAUGCCAAGAUCAAAAUCGGGAACAAGGUCAUCACUGUAAGCGGGAAUUCAGCGGGAAAAGAUGAAAGGGAUGUAGAAAAAGUAUUUGGAAACACUGCGAAUCAGAAUAUUUCGGUCGUGAGAUCAAUAAGAGAUAAUUUAAAUGCGACCUACUUGGACAAUAGGCGGUCCUCAGCGGAUUCUGUAAAGCAAAUAACGGCGUGUGUACUCGUACUGAUGCUGGCUUACGUAGCCCUAGCAUGUGCGGCGUAUGAAACGAGGUGUACUUUUCAAUGUGGACGGCACCCAGAGUGGGUGUAGACAUACUUGUUUAUAUACAGUAAAUCUUGCUGUAUAUGAAUGAUACUACAUAAGCCCCGACGAGAAUGCUUCGUGUAGCUUUUAAAUAUAACUGGCGAACGUGGCAAUGUGAAACUAAUGCUUUUAUAUUGUGGCCAGAAAUAAAAAUGGUCAAUUGUACAAACUGUUGAAACCGAUUGAAAAUAAAGUGCUACAGUAGAUCCUAUCUGCAAGCAGAGUUAUUUAAGCCUGUUAUCGUUUUACGUUUAUUGAUCAAAAGAAUCGAUUUAAAUUAAAGUGACCUGGUCAACUGUA